rnacentral:rRNA from 1 species
GAUGAACGCUGGCGGCGUGCCUAAUACAUGCAAGUCGAGCGAAUGGAUUAAGAGCUUGCUCUUAUGAAGUUAGCGGCGGACGGGUGAGUAACACGUGGGUAACCUGCCCAUAAGACUGGGAUAACUCCGGGAAACCGGGGCUAAUACCGGAUAACAUUUUGAACCGCAUGGUUCGAAAUUGAAAGGCGGCUUCGGCCGUCACUUAUGGAUGGACCCGCGUCGCAUUAGCUAGUUGGUGAGGUAACGGCUCACCAAGGCAACGAUGCGUAGCCGACCUGGGAGGGUGAUCGGCCACACUGGGACUGAGACACGGCCCAGACGCCUACGGGAGGCAGCAGUAGGGAAUCUUCCGCAAUGGACGAAAGUCUGACGGAGCAACGCCGCGUGAGUGAUGAAGGCUUUCGGGUUGUAAAACUCUGUUGUUAGGGAAGAACAAGUGCUAGUUGAAUAAGCUGGCACCUUGACGGUACCUAACCAGAAAGCCACGGCUAACUACGUGCCAGCCGCCGCCGUAA